UUAUCAUAUAACUGCACACAUAUUGAAAUGUUGUAUGACAUGUGAAGUGAGUGAAUUUUGAAACAUGGAGAUAAUUAAAAAGCAAACUUGCCCAUCCUAGUAGGAAAUAGCAGCUGUGGAGCUGCAGGUGUAGGGUGGGUUUAGUGAGGAGUAAUCAGAGAUGGCAUUUACCUCACUGAGGUAAUAGCCAAGGGGAGACAAAGAUGUCAUGGCGAUGCUGCCACAGUGUCUUGCAAAGAGAAUCUGGAUAAGCCAGGGUCUCCUCAGAUGAAAGAAAUUCCAGAGACAAUGGCCCUCCAGAGGAUACAUGAGUGACUUUUCUGCUAUCUACAGGCUGAGCUGAGACUUUUGAAGACCUUUCAAGGCAUUAUCCCUUCCAGGAUAUCUACAGGGAAACAUUACUGAGAACUGACGUCAAAUACAUCAAUCCAUUUGAUGCUCAAUUGCAAGCAUGGUGCAAGUACUACUCUAAAUAAUACAAGCAGAACUCCACUAAUACAUAGUCUAGCUGCCUCUACUUUAAAAAAAAAAAAGGGAUGUAGUAUAGUUUCUCAGUGAUGCCUUAUGGAGCCCUAGUUUUAAAACCCUUCAAAGCAAUAGCUGUAUGAAAAGUACUAGAUGUGGCGGUAGCACUUGAGACAGAGAACAGCCAUCAGGAAAGACAUAGACCCACCUCUGACCAUGGCUGAUGGGUGAAUUCCUUGAGAGGGCU
rnacentral:lncRNA from 1 species